GUUAGCGUUUAGUUAGUUGACUUGGGGUCGUAGUAUGGUGAUGUGUUGCUGUAUUAUUCUUAGAUAUCAAACUUUUCAAAUGGGUUGACCGUUCAUCUGUAAAUGUCCUUCAACGUGAAUGUCAGCGAGGGCUCUUGGUAAUAGAAGCCGCUAGUGCUGAGAAACAUAGGUUCGAGGAAGUAGGCUUUCUCGUGACUGUUAAGAGAAGUGGGAUUUUGAAACACCAGUUUAAGACGUUAACUUCUGAGGUUUACAAUGAUGACACCAAAGACGGAUUGCAAGAAGUUCGCUCCAAAUAUAUUCAACAAAUCAAAAUGUCAGCAUUGUUUCAAGACGAAAGAAGCUCAUUCGGCUGACGCUCUAGAAAGUAACAGAGCCAAUUGCAAGAAACCUGGAAGAAACAAAGACUCUCUAGUGACGAGAAAAAAUCAUCAUCCUAUUUGUUACUUGCUCUUGGAAGGAAUACGUUACCCGUGACCGUCUUAUCAACCCAUGGGACACAUUAUCCGUUUUCUAUAUCAGUAAAGAAAACAGAUUUUAUAAUCAUAUGAGAUAAUAUAUUUUAAUUUUGGAUGAACUCAUUUAACUCGGUACUAGACUUAUUAGUAGAAUUAAUUACCCACGAGAUCUAUAUUUAAUUUGUUUUCAAUAAAACAGUUUUUCUGAACUA